rnacentral:rRNA from 1 species
GGUGGUGGUCAUAGUGGUAGGGUAACGCCCGAUACCAUUUCGAACUCGGAAGCUAAGACUACUAACGCUGAUGGUACUGCACUCGGUAGGGUGUGGGAGAGUAAGUCACUGCCACCC